rnacentral:rRNA from 1 species
UACGUAGGUGGCAAGCGUUGUCCGGAUUUACUGGGCGUGAAGGGCGUGUAGGCGGUCCAUUAAGUUUGGGGUGAAAUCUCCCGGCUCAACUGGGAGCGGUCCCCGGAUACUGAUGGACUAGAGGGGGGUAGAGGAAGGCGGAAUUCCCGGUGUAGCGGUGAAAUGCGUAGAUACCGGGAGGAACACCGGUGGCGAAGGCGGCCUUCUGGGCCUACCCUGACGCUGAGGCGCGAAAGCGUGGGGAGCAAACCGGAUUAGAUACCCCGUGUA